rnacentral:rRNA from 1 species
CCUACGGGCGGCAGCAGUGGGGAAUAUUGGACAAUGGCGAAAGCCUGAUCCAGCCAUGCCGCGUGUGUGAAGAAGGCCUUCGGGUUGUAAAGCACUUUCAGUGGGGAAGAAAGCCUUGGGGCUAAUACCCUCGAGGAAGGACAUCACCCACAGAAGAAGCACCGGCUAACUCCGUGCCAGCAGCCGCGGUAAUACGGAGGGUGCGAGCGUUAAUCGGAAUUACUGGGCGUAAAGCGCGCGUAGGCGGUCUGAUAAGCCGGUUGUGAAAGCCCCGGGCUCAACCUGGGAACGGCAUCCGGAACUGUCAGGCUAGAGUGCAGGAGAGGAAGGUAGAAUUCCCGGUGUAGCGGUGAAAUGCGUAGAGAUCGGGAGGAAUACCAGUGGCGAAGGCGGCCUUCUGGACUGACACUGACGCUGAGGUGCGAAAGCGUGGGUAGCAAACAGGAUUAGAUACCCUUGUAGUC